AGUGAACGCUGGCGGUAGGCCUAACACAUGCAAGUCGAACGGCAGCACAGUAAUAGCUUGCUCUUACGGGUGGCGAGUGGCGGACGGGUGAGGAAUACAUCGGAAUCUACUUUUUCGUGGGGGAUAACGUAGGGAAACUUACGCUAAUACCGCAUACGACCUACGGGUGAGAGCAGGGGAUCUUCGGACCUUGCGCGAUUGAAUGAGCCGAUGUCGGAUUAGCUAGUUGGCGGGGUAAAGGCCCACCAAGGCGACGAUCCGUAGCUGGUCUGAGAGGAUGAUCAGCCACACUGGAACUGAGACACGGUCCAGACUCCUACGGGAGGCAGCAGUGGGGAAUAUUGGACAAUGGGCGCAAGCCUGAUCCAGCCAUACCGCGUGGGUGAAGAAGGCCUUCGGGUUGUAAAGCCCUUUUGUUGGGAAAGAAAAGCAGCAGGUUAAUACCACGCUGUUCUGACGGUACCCAAAGAAUAAGCACCGGCUAACUUCGUG
rnacentral:rRNA from 1 species